rnacentral:lncRNA from 1 species
AGCAGUUCAUUGCUUUCUUGAAGAUUUUCUUGUUUUACAACUAAAAGGGAGAGGUAGUGGACUCCACGUCUUCAUCAUUGGUGUUAAUCCUCUUAUGCUUAGUGUGAACUUAUUAGUGUUUUUUUUCUCCCUCCUUCUCUCUCUUCCUCUAAGCCUUAUUUCUCCACCUGGGUGUAUGUACUUCACUGGAUUUCCCCAUUAUGCUCCAGGAACCUCAUCAUCCUGUAAGAUCACUUCAGCUCUAGAACUCUCACCUUAUCAGGCAUGAAUAAAUAGAGCUUACACGUGCGACAAAGAUAAGACGGGCGCUGUCUGCGUAUUUUAUCCCUACUGGAGAAAACCUCAGAUUUUCUUUUUCUUCAUCCUGCUGGGAAAUGUUCUGGUUCCAUGAUGGGAUGGUGUGGUGCUGGUUGGUGAAGAAUCUCUCUUUUCUAGGUGGUAACCCUAAGCCUGAUAGCUUGAUGACUGUUUGGAUGAUACACUGGAUACAAGAGAAGGCACAGUAUCUGAAGUCUUGGAUUUUGUGCCCCAAUUCAACAGCCUUCCCAUUGCUCAUUCCCCAUAACACUUUCCUUUUCUCAUCACUCACUCCUUUAGUUUCUUUUAUGCUUUUGUAAAAUAUAGACUUUGUUUGAGGGAACAUAGUGUGGUAUUUGUAAGUAGGAAGUUGGAAAUAGGAGCAGAAUUACAUUGGAUAUAUUUUAUGCAGCAUAGCAAGCUUUUAUUAAAUGUUCAUUGUUUGACAAUCUCUAUUUCACUUGAUGUAAAUGAAAAGACCAAAAUAUUGUACUCCCUGGCUUCAGCAAGCUUGCUUUCUUUUGUCUUCUCACUGGGGGAGAAGGAGCAUGUAUACAGAUGAGUAAAAACUUGGAAACUCUAGGAAGGAGUGGGGAAGUUAGGAACUGUUGGUGCAUUGGGAAAGGCCUCUUGGAGAAGGUGCUCAGAGUUGGGUGUUGUAGUAGUUAUCCAUUCCAAGAGGCAGAUCGAGAAGCUGGAGGGCCUUCUAGAUAUUAGAGCUUCUUAUAGGACAGGGUACAGAGAUGGGAAGGAAGGGAAUGCCAUAGUAUAAAUAAAGGCUUCCUAAUUUUGAGUAGAAUAUAGACC